UACGUAGGGUGCGAGCGUUAAUCGGAUUUACUGGGCGUAAAGCGUGCGCAGGCGGCCCGUUAAGACAGGUGUGAAAUCCCUGGGCUCAACCUAGGAAUUGCGCUUGUGACUGGCGGGCUCGAGUACGGUAGAGGGGGGUGGAAUUCCUGGUGUAGCAGUGAAAUGCGUAGAGAUCAGGAGGAACACCGAUGGCGAAGGCAGCCCCCUGGGCCUGUACUGACGCUGAGGUGCGAGAGCGUGGGGAGCAAACAGG
rnacentral:rRNA from 1 species